CCAAACACAACAGUCACCCACAUGUCACACACAGCCACAUCACACAAACUCACCACACAUAGCCACUUACACAUUACACAGAGCCACAGUAUAAGCCACAUACAAUGGCAGCACACACAGCAGCCCAAAACAUACAUUACACAGUGCCACAACACAUAGCACAUAUAACCACACCAAACACAGCAGUCACCCACAUGUCACACACAGCCACAGCACACAAACCCACCACACAUAGCCACUUACACAUUACACAGAGCCACAAUAUAAGCCACAUACAAUGGCAGCACACACAGCAGCCCAAAACAUACAUAACACAGUCAUCC